AACGGCGAGUGAAGAGGGAAAAGCCCAAAUUUGUAAUCUGGCUCUUUCAGAGUCCGAGUUGUAAUUUUAAGAACUGUUUUCCGUGCUGGACCAUGUACAAGUCUGUUGAAAAACAGCAUCAUUGAGGGUGAAAAUCCCGUACAUGAUAUGGACUACCAGUGCAAUGUGAUACAGUCUCUAAGAGUCGAGUUGUUUGGGAAUGCAGCUCAAAGUGGGUGGUAAAUUCCAUCUAAGGCUAAAUAUAGGUGAGAGACCGAUAGCAAACAAGUACCGUGAGGGAAAGAUGAAAAGAACUUUGGAAAGAGAGUUAACAGUACGUGAAAUUGUUAAAAGGGAAACAUUUGAAGUUAGACUUGUUAUUGUUGGUUCAACUUCUUUAUUGAGGUGUAUUCCAAUGGUUAACAGACCAGCAUCAAUUUUUGGGUGUUGGAUAAGGGUUUAGGAAAUGUGGCAACCUUGGUUGUGUUAUAGUCCUUUACUUUGAUACAAUGCUUAGGAUUGAGGAACGCAGUAAGCUUUGUAGCAGAUUUCUUUGGAGAUCUUCUUACUA
rnacentral:rRNA from 1 species